rnacentral:rRNA from 1 species
GAUGAACACUAGCUACAGGCUUAACACAUGCAAGUCGAGGGGCAGCAUGACGAUAGCUUGCUAUUGUUGAUGGCGACCGGCGCACGGGUGAGUAACGCGUAUCCAACCUGCCCUUGUCCACCGGAUAACCCGUCGAAAGGCGGACUAACACGGUAUGCAGUCCACAGCAGACAUCUAACGUGGACGAAAUGUGAAGGAGAAGGAUGGGGAUGCGUCUGAUUAGCUUGUUGGCGGGGUAACGGCCCACCAAGGCGACGAUCAGUAGGGGUUCUGAGAGGAAGGUCCCCCACAUUGGGACUGAGACACGGUCCAAACUCCUACGGGAGGCAGCAGUGAGGAAUAUUGGUCAAUGGGCGAGAGCCUGAACCAGCCAAGUAGCGUGCAGGAAGACGGCCCUAUGGGUUGUAAACUGCUUUUAUACGGGGAUAAAGUGAGUCACGUGUGGCUUAUUGCAGGUACCGUAUGAAUAAGGACCGGCUAAUUCCGUGCCAGCCGCCGCGGUAACAC